UACGUGGGUGGCAAGCGUUGUCCGGAUUUACUGGGCGUAAAGAGCGCGCAGGCGGUCGUUCAAGUCGCGUGUGAAAGCCCCCGGCUCAACUGGGGAGGGUCACGCGAUACUGAUCGACUCGAAGGCAGGAGAGGGAAGUGGAAUUCCCGGUGUAGUGGUGAAAUGCGUAGAUAUCGGGAGGAACACCAAUGGCGAAGGCAGCUUGCUGGCAUGUAUCUGACGCUAAGGCACGAAAGCGUGGGGAGCGAACAGGA
rnacentral:rRNA from 1 species